rnacentral:rRNA from 1 species
GGNAGGAUUGACAGAUUGAGAGCUCUUUCUUGAUUCGGUGGGUGGUGGUGCAUGGCCGUUCUUAGUUGGUGGAGCGAUUUGUCUGGUUAAUUCCGAUAACGAACGAGACUCUAGCCUGCUAACUAGGCGUAUUUCGACAUCCUAAAGGCCAGCCGGCUUUCGGCGGGGUUCCGGCUCCGGCGUUGUCGCGCUCGGUUUUUACUGUCGGCGUACAAACAAUUCUUCUUAGAGGGACAGGCGGCUUCUAGCCGCACGAGAUUGAGUAAUAACAGGUCUGUGAUGCCCUUAGAUGUUCUGGGCCGCACGCGCGCUACACUGAAGGAAUCAGCGUGUCCUCCCUGGCCGAGCGGCCCGGGUAACCCGCUGAACCUCCUUCGUGCUAGGGAUUGGGGCUUGCAAUUGUUCCCCAUGAACGAGGAAUUCCCAGUAAGCGCGAGUCAUAAGCUCGCGUUGAUUAAGUUCCUGCCCUUUUACAC